AUUGAUGGCACAGGAGGAAACGUCCUCUUUCCUUAUGCUCUCCUUUCUCACAACCCAACCCUGAUCCGGGUUCUUAACUUCCUGUUGGAAGGGAGUUUUUCCUUCCUGCUGUCGCCUCGUGUGGGUCCACAGGGGUCAUCCCUCUAACACUGCAGGCUGUUGGCUGCACAUACACGUGCACUGAACUCAACCCGCUGCUCGCACACUUUCACUCAGCAGAAUCAGCUCAGACAAUCACAGCGUGAACCCCGAUCCCAGCCCAGAGGCCCGGCGAGCCGAGGGUUUGAGUCCGUGCGCCCACGCUCGCACUGUGUGUUUCUGCAGGUCAUCGCUGACGUGCUGUAACUUAACAGACAUAUUCUGGAUCUGUUGUGAAGCAGCUGUGGGACAGUUUGUCCGCGUGAGGACGAGCACAUCUAGUGCAGAACUCGGCGUUCGCCUCCAAAAUAAAAGCCGUGCAGAGCAGAAGAAACAAAUGUUGGUGUAAUCAGAGGACAUGCAACGUGAGUUUACAGGUGGCAAAGUUCCUGAUCUGUAAAGAGGAGCGGCCAAUCUCCAAACACAUCAGCCGCUGAUGCCAGAGACACGUUAAAGCGUGUUUCUGUCUCAGAAAUGUUUGAGCAAUGUCUCUUUACACAAGCCAGCAUUGGUCACCCAUCACGCUGGGAUGCCUUCACUUUCAGAUUGAGAAGAUUUCUUUCCACACUCGUCGCUGACAGACUUGGUGGGAAACAGUCGAGAUGAGAAUGUCUAAAGUGGAUGUUCAGAGACAUUCAGCAUCGGCGCUCUGCUCCUGAUUCAGUUUCCUUCUGGAGUGAUCGUCGAGCAUCAGUUCAGGACCAACAAAAGCCUGCCUUCAGUUUGGCUUCACAGACUUAAAAGCUGAAACCUGUUCGGUCAUCCAGGCUGUCCAGUACUGAGACGCUCCAAACUAAAAAACAGGGAACAGUGUCCAGAUUUAGAGUCAACAGGCGUGGACUGCAACUGUCCCAGCUGACAGCGAGCUUCCACUCCAACCCCACAUCCACGAAGAACACGCACUCAGUGAAGGAGAUUUGAGUCUUCGCCGCCUCGUUUUUAUCUUUGUUCUUAUAACUUUGUGUUCUGUGUGUCACAUGUGGCAUCCAUAUGAUCGAUAAAAACAAACUGAA